GACGAACGCUGGCGGCGUGCUUAACACAUGCAAGUCGAACGAUGAACCCGGAGCUUGCCCUGGGGGAUUAGUGGCGAACGGGUGAGUAACACGUGAGUAACCUGCCCUGGACUCUGGGAUAAGCGUUGGAAACGACGUCUAAUACCGGAUAGGACCUUGGAUCGCAUGAUCUGGGGUGGAAAGUUUUUUCGGUCUGGGAUGGACUCGCGGCCUAUCAGCUUGUUGGUGAGGUAAUGGCUCACCAAGGCGUCGACGGGUAGCCGGCCUGAGAGGGUGACCGGCCACACUGGGACUGAGACACGGCCCAGACUCCUACGGGAGGCAGCAGUGGGGAAUAUUGCACAAUGAGCGAAAGCCUGAUGCAGCAACGCCGCGUGCGGGAUGACGGCCUUCGGGUUGUAAACCGCUUUUAGUAGGGAAGAAGGGCUUCGGCUUGACGGUACCUGCAGAAAAAGGACCGGCUAACUACGUG
rnacentral:rRNA from 1 species